UACCAGCACCCCGAGUGGUCGGUACGAUUAUUGGGCCUAAAGCAUCCGUAGCCGGUUCUACAAGUCUUCCGUUAAAUCCACCUGCUUAACAGAUGGGCUGCGGAGGAUACUAUGGAGCUAGGAGGCGGGAGAGGCAAGCGGUACUUAGUGGGUAGGGGUAAAAUCCGUUGAUCCAUUGAAGACCACCAGUGGCGAAGGCGGCCUGCCAGAACGCACUCGACGGUGAGGGAUGAAAGCUGGGGGAGCAAACCGG
rnacentral:rRNA from 1 species